rnacentral:rRNA from 1 species
AUUGAACGCUGGCGGCAGGCCUAACACAUGCAAGUCGAACGAGUGGCGGACGGGUGAGUAAUGUCUGGGAAACUGCCCGAUGGAGGGGGAUAACUACUGGAAACGGUAGCUAAUACCGCAUACCAUCGGAUGUGCCCAGAUGGGAUUAGCUAGUAGGUGGGGUAAAGGCUCACCUAGGCGACGAUCCCUCGCUGGUCUGAGAGGAUGACCAGCCACCCUGGAACGGAGACACGGUCCAGACUCCUACGGGAGGCAGCAGUGGGGAAUAUGGCACAAUGGGAGCAAGCCUGAUGCAGCCAUGCCGCGUGUAUGAAGAAGGCCUUCGGGUUGUAAAGUACUUGCAGCGAGGAGGCGUUACUCGCAGAAGAAGCACCGGCUAACUCCGUGCCAGCCGCCGCGGUAAUAC